rnacentral:rRNA from 1 species
UUGAACGCUGGCGGCAGGCCUAACACAUGCAAGUCGAACGGUAACAGGAAGAAGCUUGCUUCUUUGCUGACGAGUGGCGGACGGGUGAGUAAUGUCUGGGAAACUGCCUGAUGGAGGGGGAUAACUACUGGAAACGGUAGCUAAUACCGCAUAAUGUCGCAAGACCAAAGAGGGGGACCUUCGGGCCUCUUGCCAUCGGAUGUGCCCAGAUGGGAUAAGCUAGUAGGUGGGGUAACGGCUCACCUAGGCGACGAUCCCUAGCUGGUCUGAGAGGAUGACCAGCCACACUGGAACUGAGACACGGUCCAGACUCCUACGGGAGGCAGCAGUGGGGAAUAUUGCACAAUGGGCGCAAGCCUGAUGCAGCUAUGCCGCGUGUAUGAAGAAGGCCUUCGGGUUGUAAAGUACUUUCAGCGGGGAGGAAGGGAGUAAAGUUAAUACCUUUGCUCAUUGACGUUACCCGCAGAAGAAGCACCGGCUAACUCCGUG